UACGAGUGCCCCAAGCGUUAUCCGGAAUCAUUGGGCGUAAAGGGUGUGUAGGCGGUUGUGUUAGUCUUUUGUUAAAUUCUUCGGCUUAACCGGGGACAUGCGAAGGAAACGGCACAACUAGAGGAUGCGAGAGGUGAAUGGAACUCAUGGAGUAGGGGUGAAAUCCGUUGAUAUCAUGGGGAACACCAAAAGCGAAGGCAAUUCACUGGCGCACUCCUGACGCUGAGACACGAAAGCGUAGGUAGCGAAUGGG
rnacentral:rRNA from 1 species